AGCCCCGGCGAGGCGGCCUCUGACAGCCGGCGGCCCGGGACCGGCUUUAUACGUGCGCGCCCUCCCGGCGGGACGUCCGGGGAAGGGAAGGAAGUGCCCGGUGGGAAGGGCUGGGCCGCGUUCUCGGAUUACUGGGUUCUCCGGCGCCUUGUGCCCGCCCUCGCGCCCGGGAUCGCCUCGCGGGCUGGUGAUAUGCAGUACGAUUCUCUCUCAUGGUGCCUGGUGGGGGCAGCCCCCAGUCAGCCACGUGAUCAACAGAGACAACAAAUGGAGCAACUGAAAUGGCAUGCUACCGAGUGACUGGAGGCUUUCGGAACUUGACUAGGAACUUGAAAAAGCUCACUUAGUAACCCGAAGUAAAAUUCCACUUUGGUUUGCAAACAACCAGAAGAGGAAAAAAAAAAAAAAAAUCUCAGACUUGAGGCCACGGAUGGUUAUAAUUUUCAGCCUUUUUUAGAAGCAAACUGGAUUUUUCUUCUGCCUAUCUCAUGUUCCCUUUGGUUUUGGAAGUCUUUUUUCUUUUAUCCCCCCAUCGUGAACUUUAAAAUAGAUGGGCAGUUUUUAAAUAGGGACUGCCCGUGGGAAUGACUGAACAUCUAACACAAUGCCAAGCUCCUAAAGAAUGUUAAACCAAAGGGGAUGAAAUUUGGUAGAUUUCAGGGUUUCACAGUGCAAAUAUUGUAUUGUGAGGUGGCAGGGUCACAAAAAAGCAUCAGAAAGAAAAGAGGAAAAUGUUUCUGGCCUCAUGGCCCUGGACUUGCAUUCCUGCCUCCCUGGCUCAGGGUUUCCAGGAAGGACCAGAGUUCUGAGAAUCUCCGCUGCAACCAGGAGGCCCCUUCCGCUCAGCAGCUCUUCAAAAGCCCUUGAAGCAAACGGCGCUUUUCCUGCAUUUGCAGAUGUGUUACUCACCCGGGCUGGCUUUGGUUGGGGCGCUUCCCCCAGAAGUAGACCCUAGGACAAAGAUUUGGGACAAGUCAUUUAUUUGAGAGGGGGAGACAGACAGGGAAUGGGGGGAAGGGACCAACAGAGAGUGCCUGAGCACACUGGUGACACUGGGUCUCCAUGGUCACUCCAUGGGUCCCUGUCACUCUGGGUGACAUCAUCAGUUUUCCAAGCCAUGGAGACGGGGCUAUGGCAGCUCUCUUUCAGCUACCCUCUUCUCUGGAGAUGACAAAUUCUUGACACUCUGGGCUGACAGUGAGAACCUAGUUGAACAGAGGGAACACUCAGGUGGAGAAUGGCAGGGGACUGCCAAGGGGCUAUGAACAUGACAUCAGUGUCUCCUACUGAUGCCAUCCAAAGAGAUUUGAGUUAGAGUGUCAUGGGGGUUACAAACUCACUGGCUUUGAGCCUCUCCAAGGCAUGAGGUGUCUCAGACUCUAGUUGGAGACCCUUCAGAGGUAUCCCUUUUGUUCUUCUUAUUUUAAUAAGAUAUUUGAGACACUCCAGGAAUCAUCUCUCAGAACCCAUAGGAUCCUCCUGUGCUCUUUAGUGCCGUCUAUCCACCCACUCAUAUUUCCAGCCAGCUAGCCAGCCAGCCAGCCAUCCACUCAUCUAUCCAUUUACGCACCCAUCUAUCCACCUGCUCACCUAUCUAUCCAUCCAUCCGUCAAGCUAGUCAGCCAGCCAGUCAACCAACCAGCCACGCAAUGUUAUUUAAGUCCCUAUCAUGCACUGGGUUAGGCACUGGAAUUAAAGGCAGGAACUCCUGCCUUCAUGACCCUUGAA